rnacentral:other from 2 species
GAUUACCUGCGGUGUGCGUGAUGCUUAAUGCGGAACCCACAGUUCGAAUUCGGGAUUGCGUGUAUAUGUGCGGAUGUCGGGCCUUAGAAAUUUUGCGGAAAUUUUGUAUCCGUAAGCAAAGGAGGACAGUAAGCAGUAUCAGCUUGCCCACCUGCUUUAUGCGGGUUCGAUAGAGCCUCUCACGGCACAGGCGGGGUUUUC